rnacentral:rRNA from 1 species
GGUUAAGCGACUAAGCGUACACGGUGGAUGCCUAGGCAAUCAGAGGCGAUGAAGGACGUGCUAAUCUGCGAAAAGCGUCGGUAAGGUGAUAUGAACCGCUAUAACCGACGAUGUCCGAAUGGGGAAACCCAGUGCAAUUCGUUGCACUAUCGUUUGAUGAAUCCAUAGUCAAACGAGGCGAACCGAGGGAACUGAAACAUCUCAGUACCUCGAGGAAAAGAAAUCAACCGAGAUUCCCCUAGUAGCGGCGAGCGAACGGGGAGCAGCCCAGAGUCUUAAUCAGCAUCAGCAUCAGGAGAACGGUCUGGAAAGUCCGGCAGUAAAGGGUGAUAGCCCCGUAUCCGAAGGUGUUGGUGUUGUGAACUCGACGAGUAGGGCGGGACACGUGUUAUCCUGUCUGAAUAUGGGGGGACCAUCCUCCAAGGCUAAAUACUCCUGAUUGACCGAUAGUGAACCAGUACCGUGAGGGAAAGGCGAAAAGAACCCCGGCGAGGGGAGUGAAAUAGAACCUGAAACCGUGUACGUACAAGCAGUGGGAGCACCUUUUAGGUGUGACUGCGUACCUUUUGUAUAAUGGGUCAGCGACUUAUAUUCUGUAGCAAGGUUAACCGUAUAGGGGAGCCGUAGGGAAACCGAGUCUUAACUGGGCGAAUAAGUUGCAGGGUAUAGACCCGAAACCCGGUGAUCUAGCCAUGGGCAGGUUGAAGGUUGGGUAACACUAACUGGAGGACCGAACCGACUAAUGUUGAAAAAUUAGCGGAUGACUUGUGGCUGGGGGUGAAAGGCCAAUCAAACCGGGAGAUAGCUGGUUCUCCCCGAAAGCUAUUUAGGUAGCGCCUCGUGAACUCAUCUUCGGGGGUAGAGCACUGUUUCGGCUAGGGGGUCAUCCCGACUUACCAACCCGAUGCAAACUACGAAUACCGAAGAAUGUUAUCACGGGAGACACACGGCGGGUGCUAACGUUCGUCGUGAAGAGGGAAACAACCCAGACCGCCAGCUAAGGUCCCAAAGUCAUGGUUAAGUGGGAAACGAAGUGGGAAGGCUCAGACAGCCAGGAUGUUGGCUUAGAAGCAGCCAUCAUUUAAAGAAAGCGUAAUAGCUCACUGGUCGAGUCGGCCUGCGCGGAAGAUGUAACGGGGCUAAACCAUGCACCGAAGCUGCGGCAGCGACAUUUAGAUGUUGUUGGGUAGGGGAGCGUUCUGUAAGCCUGUGAAGGUGUGCUGUGAGGCAUGCUGGAGGUAUCAGAAGUGCGAAUGCUGACAUAAGUAACGAUAAUGCGGGUGAAAAACCCGCACGCCGGAAGACCAAGGGUUCCUGUCCAACGUUAAUCGGGGCAGGGUGAGUCGACCCCUAAGGCGAGGCAGAAAUGCGUAGUCGAUGGGAAACAGGUUAAUAUUCCUGUACUGGUGAUAAUUGCGAUGGGGGGACGGAGAAGGCUAGGCUGGCCGGGCGACGGUUGUCCCGGUUUAAGGAUGUAGGCAGGUGAAUUAGGCAAAUCCGGUUCACUACAUGCUGAGGUCUGAUGACGAGUCACUACGGUGGCGAAGUAGCUCAUGCCCCGCUUCCAGGAAAAGCCUCUAAGCUCUAGAUUAUCAUUAAUCGUACCCCAAACCGACACAGGUGGUCAGGUAGAGAAUACUCAGGCGCUUGAGAGAACUCGGGUGAAGGAACUAGGCAAAAUGGUGCCGUAACUUCGGGAGAAGGCACGCUGGCGCUAGGUGAAGUCCCUCGCGGAUGGAGCUGAAGCCAGUCGCAGAUACCAGCUGGCUGCAACUGUUUAUUAAAAACACAGCACUGUGCAAACACGAAAGUGGACGUAUACGGUGUGACGCCUGCCCGGUGCUGGAAGGUUAAUUGAUGGGGUUAUCCGUAAGGAGAAGCUCUUGAUCGAAGCCCCAGUAAACGGCGGCCGUAACUAUAACGGUCCUAAGGUAGCGAAAUUCCUUGUCGGGUAAGUUCCGACCUGCACGAAUGGCGUAAUGAUGGCCAGGCUGUCUCCACCCGAGACUCAGUGAAAUUGAACUCGCUGUGAAGAUGCAGUGUACCCGCGGCAAGACGGAAAGACCCCGUGAACCUUUACUAUAGCUUGACACUGAACAUUGAGCCUUGAUGUGUAGGAUAGGUGGGAGGCUUUGAAGUGUGGACGCCAGUCUGCAUGGAGCCAACCUUGAAAUACCACCCUUUAAUGUUUGAUGUUCUAACGUGGCCCCAUCAUCUGGGGUGCGGACAGUGUCUGGUGGGUAGUUUGACUGGGGCGGUCUCCUCCCAAAGAGUAACGGAGGAGCACGAAGGUUGGCUAAGCAUGGUCGGACAUCAUGCGGUUAGUGCAAAGGCAUAAGCCAGCUUGACUGCGAGAGUGACGGCUCGAGCAGGUACGAAAGUAGGUCUUAGUGAUCCGGUGGUUCUGAAUGGAAGGGCCAUCGCUCAACGGAUAAAAGGUACUCCGGGGAUAACAGGCUGAUACCGCCCAAGAGUUCAUAUCGACGGCGGUGUUUGGCACCUCGAUGUCGGCUCAUCACAUCCUGGGGCUGAAGUAGGUCCCAAGGGUAUGGCUGUUCGCCAUUUAAAGUGGUACGCGAGCUGGGUUUAGAACGUCGUGAGACAGUUCGGUCCCUAUCUGCCGUGGGCGUUGGAAGAUUGAAAGGGGCUGCUCCUAGUACGAGAGGACCGGAGUGGACGCACCACUGGUGUUCGGGUUGUCAUGCCAAUGGCAUUGCCCGGUAGCUAAGUGCGGAAGAGAUAACCGCUGAAAGCAUCUAAGCGGGAAACUUGCCUUGAGAUGAGUCUUCCCUGACUCUUUAAGGGUCCUAAAGGAACGUUUAAGACUAAGACGUUGAUAGGCUGGGUGUGUAAGCGUAGCGAUACGUUGAGCUAACCAGUACUAAUGAACCGUGAGGCUUAACCUG